rnacentral:rRNA from 1 species
AGGAAACUUGUGCUAAUACCGGAUAAGUCUUUACGGAGAAAGCUUUAUGCACCAUUGGAUGAGCCUGCACUUGAUUAGUUUGUUGGUGGGGUAAUGGCCUACCAAGACUGUGAUCAAUAGCUGAUUUGAGAGGAUGAUCAGCCACAUUGGGACUGAGACACGGCCCAAACUCCUACGGGAGGCAGCAGUGGGGAAUCUUGCACAAUGGAGGAAACUCUGAUGCAGCGAUGCCGCGUGAGUGAAGAAGGCCCUUGGGUUGUAAAGCUCUUUCGUCGGGGAAGAAAAUGACUGUACCCGAAUAAGAGGGUCCGGCUAACUUCGUGCCAGCAGCCGCGGUAAUACGAAGGGACCUAGCGUAGUUCGGAAUUACUGGGCUUAAAGAGUUCGUAGGUGGUUGAAAAAGUUGGUGGUGAAAUCCCANAGCUUAACUCUGGAACUGCCAUCAAAACUUUUCAGCUAGAGUAUGAUAGAGGAAAGCAGAAUUUCUAGUGUAGAGGUGAAAU